GGUCUAAGGCACUGCAUCUCAGUGCAAGAGGUGUCACUACAGUCCCUGGUUUAAAUCCAGGCUGUAUCACAUCUGGCUGUGAUUGGGAGUCUCAUAUGGUGGUGCACAAUUGGCCCGUGUUUGGCCACGGUAGGCUGUCAUUGUAAAUAAGAAUGUUUUCUAAACUGACUUGCCUAGGUAAAAAAAUAAAACGUAACUCAACAAGCGGAGCAGAUCAGCUUGCAUUUACAAUACGAGAGCAGAAAAACUCAAUCUUGAAGCUGAGAUAAACCAAGUGUUUUCAGAUUUAUUUUCCAUUCAUUGGACAAUUACCUUUUAGUAUGUACACACCAGGGACGUCACAAGAGAUUCAAGGAUAGGGGGGUAAGCCUCUUUUAUGGGGGUCUGGCAUACUCCCUCCUGUCCGUUUACUGUUAAGCCACAGAAGUAGCUGAGACUGUUAGCUAAUGUUAACCAAAAUGUUAGCUACCAGUAGGCCUAAUGGUACAUGUACACUAGAUAGCAGUAAAUUGCCGCGUGCCGCUUAGGCCGUCCAUUGUGACUCGCUUGUGGGUGUGCUGGCAGCAUAUGGCAGCAAAUAGUUUGAUUGUGCGUCAAGAAUUCAGCAUAGCAAGUUUGUAUGAAGGUCUGGUUAUAAAAUGGGUACAUAGUUCAAAAGUAAUAUCCUCUAAAAUGCUCUAGUGACAAACAAACUUUGUUGCCUUGUUUCCAAUUGUCCACAUGGCUGGGAGAACCUAUUCAAGGAAGUAUAUACAUUUAGAAAAUGUAAAAAAACAACAACUAUGUAUUAUUAGCUAACUACAGUUCAGACUAACUCAAAUGAGCUGCUAAAUGAGCUAGCUAGUCGGCUAGCUUGCUAUCUAGCCAAAUUCACAUACUGUAUAGAUAGCUAAGUGAAUUAAAUAUCACUAGCUACCCAACUUCAUAUUAGUUAGCUGUCUUGAUGUAUUUAUCACUGUAAAAAAACAAACUCCAAAUGCAUUUGUAGGUAGCUAGCUAACAGCCAUGGAGGAGGGUGAAAGGAUAGCAGCCCCAACUGUCAGUGAGAGAGGAGGCUAUUCUGGAUAGGGCAGGUACUUGUGUAAUUCCUGUCCCUAGAAGUGAGGACGGAGAUAAUUGUAACAUAAUAUUCAGUGCGGUGUAAUUUGACUAUAAUAAAGUCUGUUUCUUGUGAGGUUUUCUGUCCUCAGAUAAAGAGAGCUAUGAAAGCCUGUCUACAUAUGAAGAGCAGUGGUUCUCAGUCCUGGGGAUUCAAAGGGGUGCACAAUUUUGUUUUUGCCUUAGUACUGCACAGCUGAUUCAUAUGAUCGUCUCAUCAAGCUUCGAGUGGUAUUUAUGUAUUCAUUUGUGAUGCUAUCCUUGAUAUUAUCCUGUUAUUGUCACAUGCUACACAUGUACAUAUGUGUGCCCAUGCAUCUAUCAAUCCAAUGUUAUCAUGAUUUGUUAUCAGGUAUAUUAUACUUUAGUAAUCCACAAUGACCAGGUGAUGUAAGUCUAACAAUUACAUUGUCUUCCAUAUUCCCUAGAUACCUUGUAACGGGAGAUUCCUUCAAAACAAUUGCCUACAGUUAACAUGUAUGGCACUGCAAGGUUGGGUGACCAGGGCCAUCUGGGACUGCCUCCUGGGGGAAUUCAGGUGUGUGAAGGCUAUCUGUGUCCUGCAUAACUUCAUGAGGAUGGACACGAGGACCAGGAGGGGAUCUGCAGCUCGCCGCCAUUUGCCAGAGAAGUCUGCUGCUCUGCAGGAUGUUUCAAGGAUAGGGUCCAACAACGCAGUAAGAAAGGCAAACCGUGUGCGGGAUAUCUUCACCUCCUACUUCUUCAAAGAGGGUGCUGUUCUCUGGCAACACCAUAGACUACACUAUGCACAACCAAAUGCUCUUUUAAGAGCCAUCCACAUUGCAAUAAGAGUAUUCUUCCAUUUACUUAACUAUGUCAACUGCAAUUAUUCAAUUCCCAGUUUCUCUCCCUUUGAUUUCUACUUCUCAGGUGAGGGUGCUGUUUAGGUAAGGGCGUGAUGUCUGUACAAAAACAACAGGCUCUUUUAAGAGUCACCCAUAUUGAAAAAAUGUAGAACAAUUAGACACCCUAUAACCCACACCUACACACUCAUGUAUCAAUCUGAUUGAUGGAUUGUGUUGUGCAGUAAGCAGGCUCAAGUGUAUAACUGUGGCUCCUUCCACCUUUAACAAAUAGGCAAGAGGGCCAACCAUGGAGAAUAGUAAAACACUUCAUUAUUUCUAUAACUACGCUAUAUUGUUUGUCCUCAUGUGCCCGUUCAGGUUUUUCAGCAUUAAGUACCCUGCAGCCACUUAGUGUGGACACCAGGUUAUAUCAGAUGUGUCGGUGAAGCCCUCCCGCAUCUGAACUGGCUACAUAGAGGGCACUUGGUCAAGUCAACAGGAAGUAUUAUUAAAGAGAUGCUUUACAUGGAAAUAGAGAUGCAGUAGUCCCAGAGUUCAUGAUCCAAGAUGUUUUGAUGUGAGAGAGGAUGCUAAACCCCAGUCCCGUCAUCGCCACCUCACCUGCUCAUAAGAUAACCGUCGGGCCGACUUGAGACACUAUGUAAUUGUGAUGAACUGAGAGAAUAUUUGGGUUGCACUGUGAUUCAUUAAUCAUAUGCUGCCUUCCCUGCUCCUAUGUUCUUACCUCUUUCUUCCUGUUUUUAUAUUGCACAAAAGAUGUACAGAUUGAACUUGUAUUUAUAAUAUUACAAUUAUAUUUAUAAUGCAUGUAUUUAUAACACUUGGUUUAU